rnacentral:rRNA from 1 species
GAUGAACGCUGGCGGCGUGCCUAAUACAUGCAAGUCGAGCGAACAGACGAGGAGCUUGCUCCUCUGACGUUAGCGGCGGACGGGUGAGUAACACGUGGAUAACCUACCUAUAAGACUGGGAUAACUUCGGGAAACCGGAGCUAAUACCGAUAAUAUAUUGAACCGCAUGGUUUAAUAGUGAAAGACGGUUUUGCUUUCACUUAUAGAUGGAUCCGCGCCGCAUUAGCUAGUUGGUAAGGUAACGGCUUACCAAGGCAACGAUGCGUAGCCGACCUGAGAGGGUGAUCGGCCACACUGGAACUGAGACACGGUCCAGACUCCUACGGGAGGCAGCAGUAGGGAAUCUUCCGCAAUGGGCGAAAGCCUGACGGAGCAACGCCGCGUGAGUGAUGAAGGUCUUCGGAUCGUAAAACUCUGUUAUUAGGGAAGAACAAAUGUGUAAGUAACUAUGCACGUCUUGACGGUACCUAAUCAGAAAGCCACGGCUAACUACGUG